ACGUCGCCGAGGACGUCAUCGGAACGUUGACGUUAAAGACGUUGGAUUUUGUUACUUUCGAUAAGUCUGAUGCCACCUGCUCAAUGACGAGCGCUGACGGAGGACCAUUCGCCGUCACUGGCAACCAAAUCGUAAAGACGGCUGGAGCUCUGGACUUUGAGACAAAGGCAACGUAUAAUCUUGACGUCACGUGCACUGACGACCUUCUUCAAACCACGGAUACUUACGUCGUCAAAGUCCAAAACGUCGGUCCAAAGAUAACGAGUUUGCCGACGGCGUCUACUCUGGACGAGUGGCAGACUGCGGAAAAGCUACUCACGACGUUGACGUUAGCGGAGGACGCGGCUGACUGCGUUUAAACGUCACCGACGUAUAACGAGUUUAACGUCAAAUACGAGCCCGCCACAAAAGUUUUAAAACAUAUGGGUGAUCUACUACGUCAGCGAGGCGGUUGCGGGGCGGUCGCUUAGCUACGACACGAACCCCUUUUACAACCUGCACAUUGAGUACAGCGACGCCGCGGGGGUCAAAGGGGCGGAGAAGAUUUUCACCGUCCAUAUUAACGAUAACAACGCACCGACGAGCGACAACCUUAGCAGGUUGCCUAUUACAAAACUUAGCCUCGUCGCAAAAGACUUCAGCGCUACCGACACCGUGUUUACCGCUACCGGAAGUGACGUGGAAAACGAUAACGUCAUCUACAGUAUGCUGUCCUGUACCCCGAAUGCCACGUGCCCAUUCAUCAUGUCUCCGAGUAGGUUGUUCAAUGGAACCAUAGUAACGAACGCGGAUCUUCAUUCGUACCCUAACAACUCGUUCCAACUCUCGGUUGUGGCAACAGACAAGUAUAACAAGAAUCCGACUCCGUACACCGUCAUUGUAGAAAUAACUGGUCAGUACAUUGAGACAACUAGGUAAGUGUUGGAUAAAUUAAUUUAGCGAGGAUAACAAAACCGAAACCACAAACAUUGGCGACGUAAAUGCUAACGUAUCCGUUUUAGACACAGUUACCGGAUAUAUUCUAGUUUUGUCAAUGUUUCUCUGCCUUUGAAAAAAAAAACAGAUG